CCUACGGGAGGCAGCAGUGAGGAAUAUUGGUCAAUGGGCGCGAGCCUGAACCAGCCAAGUAGCGUGAAGGAUGAAUGCCCUACGGGUUGUAAACUUCUUUUAUAAAGGAAUAAAGUGAUGCACGUGUGCCUUUUUGUAUGUACUUUAUGAAUAAGGAUCGGAUAACUCCGUGCCAGCAGCGGCGGUAAUACGGAGGAUCCGAGCGUUAUCCGGAUUUAUUGGGUUUAAAGGGAGCGUAGAUGGGUUGUUAAGUCAGUUGUGAAAGUUUGCGGCUCAACCGUAAAAUUGCAAUUGAUACUGGAAGUCUUGAGUACAGUUGAGGUAGGCGGAAUUCGUGGUGUAGCGGUGAAAUGCUUAGAUAUCACGAAGAACUCCGAUUGCGAAGGCAGCUUACUAAACUGCAACUGACACUGAUGCGCGAAAGUGUGGGUAUCAAACAGGAUUAGAUACCCGGGUAGUC
rnacentral:rRNA from 1 species